CGAACGGGUGAGUAACACGUGGGCAACCUGCCCCCGGCUCUGGGAUAACUCCAAGAAAUUGGGGCUAAUACCGGAUAUGACCGCUGGCCGCAUGGUCUGGUGGUGGAAAGUUUUUCGGCUGGGGAUGGGCCCGCGGCCUAUCAGCUUGUUGGUGGGGUAGUGGCCUACCAAGGCGACGACGGGUAGCCGGCCUGAGAGGGUGACCGGCCACACUGGGACUGAGACACGGCCCAGACUCCUACGGGAGGCAGCAGUGGGGAAUAUUGCGCAAUGGGCGGAAGCCUGACGCAGCGACGCCGCGUGGGGGAUGACGGCCUUCGGGUUGUAAACCUCUUUCAGCUCCGACGAAGCGGAAGUGACGGUAGGAGCAGAAGAAGCACCGGCCAACUACGUGCCAGCAGCCGCGGUAAUACGUAGGGUGCAAGCGUUGUCCGGAAUUAUUGGGCGUAAAGAGCUCGUAGGCGGUUUGUCGCGUCGGCUGUGAAAACCUGAGGCUCAACCUCAGGCCUGCAGUCGAUACGGGCAGACUUGAGUGUUGCAGGGGAGACUGGAAUUCCUGGUGUAGCGGUGAAAUGCGCAGAUAUCAGGAGGAACACCGGUGGCGAAGGCGGGUCUCUGGGCAACAACUGACGCUGAGGAGC
rnacentral:rRNA from 1 species